rnacentral:piRNA from 1 species
UCAGGCAUCGGAGGUAGCUUUCUUGACCUU